AGGUUACUUAUUCUACGCUGAGUCUCGAAUGUGGACGCUUGCAAGAAAGCAAAGGUUUAUGCUACAAUUCUAUUCGCAUUGCGAGACAAAAAAUUCUAUCUUUAUUCUACCUCGAUCAAAGCUAUAUCAACGCGCAUGAUAGUUAAAGUUGGCGCGUCUGCAAACCAAACACCGGUUUAACGACAUGUCUUCAAGACUUGUUUGCUUCGCUCUUUGGUUUUGCUUUGUGAUAACAAAAAGCGAAAACUUCAAAGUUAACGUUCAACUGGAUUGUCAUAAAACGUUUCACAAGCUUUCUAGCAUGAAUCACGAUGUCACCCCAACAGGAGUUGUGAUCUCUCUAGCUAAUGCCGGAGUUCCCAGUGAUGCAGUUGACGUCGUGGUUUUUGCGAAAGUUUAUUCGGGUCAAACACCAACGACAGGG